rnacentral:lncRNA from 1 species
UGGCAAUUUGCCAAUAGUUUUUAUUUUGUUGGGGGCAUUAUCUCUUUCCUUUAGGUUUUUAGUGGAACGAGGCUAUGGGUUUCCGUUGGUUUUGUUAAUGUACAGUGGCAAGACAAGGGCUUUCUUUUCUCAGAGUGUUUCCAUGAGUAAGCAAGCAGAGGGAGAAACGGGUGGGUACUUCCCCAGGCAGGCCUCCCGCCCAGCAGUCUUUGCUCUGGAGGUCUUGGGGUUCUGCCAGGGUCCCCUCAGACCUGAUGAGCCUGACAGCUCCCUGCUCUUCCUCUUUCCCAGGGCAACAGUGCUCCCUCCUAACCUCAGGGUCUGCUUCCCAGAGCCGGCGCCCCAGUACCUGUGCCACCCUUGCCAGCUUCGAAGCCAGCUAGACUGCCAAGUAGAAUUUAGGCUUCCUGGAAGUCAUGGGUCACCAAUAAAACCCUCCAGGUCUGCUUGGGUUGGAUUUUCUUUCUUUUUUCUUUGCAGAAAGGGAAUUGAACCCAUGGUGCUCUACCACUGAGCUAUACCCCAAGCCGUUUUAUUUUCUAUUUUUGAGACAGGGUCUGGCUAAACUUCCCAGGCUGGCCUUGAACUUGCGCUCCUCCUGCCCCAGCCUCUGAGCCGCUGGGAUUAUAGGCAUGGCCACUGUGUCCUGCUGAUGACUGUUUUCAUAUUUUUAAAGAAUUUUAAAAAAUCAAAAGAAGGGCAAGUUCCCCUGGAGUAUGGCCACGCCCGCUUCCAAGAUGCCAGGGGAGCCCAGUCGUGGACAUGAAAACUAGCCAGGAGACCCUUCACUGACGAGGAGCUGGCCCCUUAUCUACUGUGCCUGGACCUCCAUCCCAAGAAGAUGGCUGUUCUUCCUCCCCGGCAGCCUCCCUCCACGCCACCCUGGUGCCACGUUUGGGGGAGAUCUGAGUUCCUGGAAUUGGAAACCCCACGUCCACACACAGGUGAGUGGAUCGAACACAUCACGGUGCAGUCAGCAGGAGGGACUCCUCCUCAUCUGUAAGGAGGGACCACUCAAGGCACGGCGGGUCUGCAGAGGGCCUUGCUCCAUGGAGGGGCCGCAGGCAGGAUCACCAUGUCUGCCCAACAGCGUUCGCCUCACCUUCUGAGAAAGCAAAACUACAGCACCAGACAGCAAUCCGUGGGCCCAGGCCUGGUGGGGAGCAGAGCUGGCCACUGAGGAGCAUGGGGCAUGGGAAACGUCACAGGGAAGAGAUGGCAGCUGCGAAG